rnacentral:rRNA from 1 species
AUUGAACGCUGGCGGCAGGCCUAACACAUGCAAGUCGAACGAGUGGCGGACGGGUGAGUAAUGUCUGGGAAACUGCCUGAUGGAGGGGGAUAACUACUGGAAACGGUAGCUAAUACCGCAUACCAUCAGAUGUGCCCAGAAGGGAUUAGCUAGUUGGUGGGGUAACGGCUCACCAAGGCGAUGAUCCCUAGCUGGUCUGAGAGGAUGACCAGCCACCCUGGAACGUAGGCACGGUCCAGCCUCCUACGGGAGGCAGCAGUGGGGCAUAUUGCGCAAUGGGCGCAAGCCUGAUGCAGCCAUGCCGCGUGUCUGAAGAAGGCCUUCGGGUUGUAAAGUACUUUCAGCGGGGAGGCGUUACCCGCAGAAGAAGCACCGGCUAACUCCGUGCCAGCAGCCGCGGUAAUAC